rnacentral:rRNA from 1 species
UAACACGUGGAUAACCUGCCUCAAGGCUGGGGAUAACAUUUGGAAACAGAUGCUAAUACCGAAUAAAACUUAGUAUCGCAUGAUAUCAAGUUAAAAGGCGCUACGGCGUCACCUAGAGAUGGAUCCGCGGUGCAUUAGUUAGUUGGUGGGGUAAAGGCUUACCAAGACGAUGAUGCAUAGCCGAGUUGAGAGACUGAUCGGCCACAUUGGGACUGAGACACGGCCCAAACUCCUACGGAAGGCAGCAG